UCUAUGUGUAUAUGAGAUUGUUUUAAGUUGUUGGUCUCUUAAUUGCAAGUGCAUCUCCAGUGUCCUGCAUUUGUACCCACCUCUUCUCAUGAUUUCUGAUUUGGUGGUGUAAUUGUGCAUGGAUGAUUUCCGAUCUUUACUGUGUCUAUACCUUUACUGGUGAGCCUUGUCAUUUGUGGAAUGUUUGUUUCCUGUUGAUGUCUUUUCUUUUCUGCCUAGAGAAGAUCCUUUGGUAUUUGUUGUAAGGCUGGUUUAGUGUUGCUGUGUUCUCUCAACUUUUGCUUAUCUGUAAAGGUUUUGCUUUCUCCUUCAAAUCUGAAUGAGAGCCUUGCUGGGUAGAGUAAUCUUGGUUGGAGGUUUUUUCCUUUCGUCACGUGAAGUAUAUCAUGCCACUCCCUCCUGGCCCGCAGAGUUCUGCGGAAAAAUCUGCUGAUAACUUUAUUGGGGUUCCCUUGUCUGUUACUAGUUUCUUUUCCCUGGCUGCUUUCAAGAUUUUCUCUUUGUCUUUAAUUUUGGUCAGUUUGAUUAAUAUGUGUCUCGGGGGUGUUCCUCCUUGGGUUUAUUUUAUAUGGUACUCGUUGUGCUUCCUGGAUUUGAGUGAGUGGUUCCUUUCCUAUGUGAGGGAAGUUUUUGGCUAUUAUCUCUUGGAAUAUUUUUUCUGUCCCCUUCUCUCUCUCUUCGCCUUCUGGCACCCCUGUAAUAGGGAUGUUGGUGUGUUUCACGUUGUCCCAGAGUCCUCUGAGACUCUCUUCAUUUCUUUCCAAUCUUUUUUCUCUUUUCUGUUCUGCAUCUGUAAUUUCCACUAAUCUGUCCUCCACCUUGCUUAUAUAUUCGUUCUUCUGCCUCCUGUAUUCUGCUGUUAGCUGCUUCUAGUGAAUUUUUUGUUUCAGUUAUUGUAUUUUGCAUCUUUUCUUGCUUAAGUUUUAUAUCUUGUAUCUCUUUGGUCAGUGUUUCCUGUGCAUUAUCCAUCUUUGCCUCCAGUUUAUUUCCAAUGUCUUGCAUCAUCUUCAGCAUCAAUAGUCUGAAGUCUUUUUCCUGGAGGCUGAAUCUCCUCAUCACUUAGCUGAUUUUCUGGGUUUUUUCUUUUCUCCCUCAUCUGAGUUAUAGUUCUCCGUCUUUUCAUUUUUUUAGGUUUUUGGUGUGGUGACCUUCUUACAGAUAAUAGAGUUGUAGCCUCUCUUACUUCUGGUGUCUGCCUUGCUUGUGGCUGAAGUCAGUAUGGGGGCUUGCUGUAGGCUUCCUGAUGGGAGGGGCUGAAACCUGCCCACUGGUAGGUGGAGCUGAUUCUAACCCCUCUGGUGGGUGGGGCUUAGUCUCUGGAUGGGAUUAGAGGCUGCUGUGUGCCUGAGGGGUCUUUAGGUAGCCUGUUUACUGAGGGGCAGGGCUGUGAUCCCACCUGGGUUGUUGUUUGCCCUGGGGCUUCUCAGUGCUGACUGAUUUUCCCAAAAUGGCCACCUCCAGAGAAAGGCACGCUGCUGAGUAUUCCCGAGAGCUUUGCCUUCAAGGUCCUUCCCUCACAACCAGCCACAUUCACCCCUGUUUUCCCAGGAUGUCGUCCAAGAACUGCAGUCAGGUUUGACCCAGAUUCCUGUGGAGACCUUGCUCUGCCCUGGGACCUAGUGCACGUGAAAGUCUGUGUGGGCCUCUUAAGAAUGGGGUCUCCGUUUCCUCCAGUCCUGUGGAGCUCUUGCGCACAGGCCCCGCUGGCCUUCAAUGCCAGAUGCUCUGGGGGCUCUUUCUCCCAGUGCCAGAUCCCCGCACAUGAGGGUUUGAUGUGGGGCUCAGAACUCUCAUUCUUGUGGGUGAGUCUCUGAGAACCAGUUAGUUUUCAGUCUGUGGAGCUUCCCACCCAGGAGGUAUGGGGUUGUUUAUAUGGUGAAAUCACCCCUCCUACCUGUGGAUGUGGCCUCCUCUUUUUCUUCUGGAGUAGGGCAUCUUUUUUAAGGUUUCUGGUCCAUUUGGGUGGCGAUUGCUCAGUCUUUAGUUGUGAAUUUUGUUGUUUUUAGGAGAGAAGUUGAGCUCUAGUCCUUCUAUUCUGCCAUCUUAAUCCUCUCUCAACUCCACAGUUUUUGUGUAUUUUUUUGCAUUUACUAAUAUGAACAUAAAGUUUUUCUCCUACAUUUGGUAAUCAUCCUUUCUUUCUUUCUUUCCUUUCCUUUCUUUUCCUUUUUAGGGCUGCGCCCACAGCAUAUGGAAGUCCCCAGUCUAGGGGUUGAAUUGGAGCUACAGCUGCUGGCCUACACCACAGCCACAGCAAUGAGGGCUCCUUAACCCACUGAGCAAGGCCAGGGAUUGAACCUGUGUCCUCAUGGAUACUAGUCUGGUUCGUUACUGCUGAGCCACAAUGAAAACUCCUGGUAAUCAUAUUUUCAAUUAUUAAAUACUCUAUUCAUGCCACAAACCCUGCUUGUAUGUCCCUGAAAUUAUGAAAUGUACUUCUUUAUGAGUUUUUUUGUCUAUGUUCAGGAGGGAUACUGGUGUCCGGUUUUCUUUUUAAUUGAUAUAUCACUGUAAUACUUAUAAAGUAUUAGCAGGCAAGCUGGAAACCACAAUGCCUUCCAUCAUUUAACUUCAAAAGUGACACAAAGUUAUUUUUGUAGUGUUCUAUCUGUUACUCAGGUCACUUGGUUCAGAGUGGGACUGUGUAACACAAUUACAUGAAUAUCAGAAGGUGAAGAUGACUGAAAGUCAUUUUGGAAGCUGGCUACCACAUAUUAUAAAAAGAUUUUAACAGUGCACUUCCAUUGUUUCUCUCCUGUCCUUUGUGUUAGCGUUAUCAUACAUUUUACAUGUUUUAAAUCCUAGAGUACAAUGUUAUUAUUUUAAUUUUUUCUUUAAAUAAUCAGUUAUCACUGAAAUAAAUUAAAAACGAGUUUUAUACAGUAUCUAUCUUCAUAUUUAUCAUUUCCCCCACUCUUCAAGCCUUUCCAUCAAACAUCAUUUUGUUUCCACUUAACAGACCUUCUUUUAUCAGGUCUCCUGCUGAAAAAUGACACCAUCUUCUGUUUUUCUGAAUAAGGCUUUACUUUGCCUUAAUUUUGGAAAAGUAUUUUCACUGCUUAUGGAAUUCUAGUUUGGCCAUUUCUUUUCUUUAAAUGCUUUAAGGGUGUUGCUCCCUUGUCCUUUGGCUGGCAUAUUUUGGAUGUACAAUUGACGUUACAUUACUUUCAGGUAUACAAUAUAAUGAUUUGAUAUUUAUGUCGCUUGCGGUAUUUUAGAAGUAAGUAACUUUUUAUUUAUUUAUUUAUUUAUUUACUUAUUUAUUAGGUCCGAUCCCACUGCAUGUGGAGGUUCCCAGGCUUGGGGUCCAAUUGGAGAUGUAGCCGCUGGCCUACGUCAGAGCCACAGCAAUGCUAGAUCCAAGCCGCAUCUUUGACCUACACCACAGCUUAUGGCAAUGCCGGAUUCUUAACCCACUGAGAGAAGCCAGGGAUCGAACAUGCAUUCUCAUGGAUACUAGUUGGGUUCUUUAACUGCUGAGCCACGACGUGAACUUCAUUUUUUUUUAAGAUUCGCAUUAAAAAAAAUACAUACAUAAAAGCCAUGUAUGUAAUGUGUCUUUACAUUACACAGGAACAUUUUUUUUGUUUGCAUUAAAAAA
rnacentral:lncRNA from 1 species